UACGUAGGGUGCGAGCGUUAUUCGGAAUUACUGGGCGUAAAGCGUGCGUAGGCGGUUCGUUAAGUCAGCUGUGAAAGCCCCGGGCUCAACCUGGGAACUGCGGUUGAAACUGGCGAACUAGAAUCUGGCAGAGGGGGGUGGAAUUCCACGUGUAGCAGUGAAAUGCGUAGAGAUGUGGAGGAACACCGAUGGCGAAGGCAGCCCCCUGGGCUGAGACUGACGCUCAGGCACGAAAGCGUGGGGAGCAAACAGG
rnacentral:rRNA from 1 species